UACGUAGGGUGCGAGCGUUAAUCGGAAUUACUGGGCGUAAAGCGUGCGCAGGCGGCGCGUUAAGACAGGUGUGAAAGCCCCGAGCUUAACUUGGGAAUUGCGCUUGUGACUGGCGUGCUGGAGUGUGGCAGAGGGAGGUGGAAUUCCACGUGUAGCAGUGAAAUGCGUAGAGAUGUGGAGAACACCGAUGGCGAAGGCAGCCUCCUGGGCCAGCACUGACGCUCAUGCACGAAGCGUGGGAGCAAC
rnacentral:rRNA from 1 species